CAUGCAGUCGUGGGGUAGAGGGGAGCUUGCUCCUCUUGAGACCAGGGGAACGGGUGAGGAACACGUACACAACCUUCCUUUUAGUGGGGGAUAGCCCAGGGAGAACUUGUGAUAUAUAUACACCCGUAAUAUGGCGAUGAAGCGAUCUCAUUGUUAUUAUAACAUCGAUGCGCUAGAAAAACGGGUGUGCGUAUGAUUAGGUAGUUGGCGGGGUAACGGCCCACCAAGCCGAUGAUCAUUAACUGAGUGUGAGAGCAUCGAUCCAGCUCACACGGGCACUGAGACACGGGCCCGACUCCUACGGGAGGCAGCAGUAAGGAAUAUUGGUCAAUGGACGCAAGUCUGAACCAGCCAUGCCGCGUGAGAGGAUGAAGGUCCUCUGGAUUGUAAACUUCUUUUAUCAUGGGGAGCGAAACAACACUGCGUUAUCUAACGCGGCACUGACGGUACCCUAUGAAUAAGCACCGGCUAACUCCGUGCCAGCAGCCCGCGGUAAA
rnacentral:rRNA from 1 species